UAGCUCAGUUGGCAGAGCAGCUGACUCUUAAUCAGCGGGUCCCAGGUUCGAGUCCUGGUGCGCCCA
rnacentral:tRNA from 1 species